rnacentral:tRNA from 1 species
GGAUUGUGGCUCACUGGUAGAGCACUCACCUAGCAUGCUUGAGGCACUGGGUUCGAUCCUCAGCACCA